rnacentral:rRNA from 1 species
CCUACGGGUGGCUGCAGUGGGGAAUAUUGGACAAUGGGGGCAACCCUGAUCCAGCCAUGCCGCGUGUGUGAAGAAGGCCCUCGGGUUGUAAAGCACUUUCAGUGAGGAAGAACGCCUGGUGGUUAAUACCCAUCAGGAAAGACAUCACUCACAGAAGAAGCACCGGCUAACUCCGUGCCAGCAGCCGCGGUAAUACGGAGGGUGCGAGCGUUAAUCGGAAUUACUGGGCGUAAAGCGCGCGUAGGUGGCUUGAUAAGCCGGUUGUGAAAGCCCCGGGCUCAACCUGGGAACGGCAUCCGGAACUGUCAAGCUAGAGUGCAGGAGAGGAAGGUAGAAUUCCCGGUGUAGCGGUGAAAUGCGUAGAGAUCGGGAGGAAUACCAGUGGCGAAGGCGGCCUUCUGGACUGACACUGACACUGAGGUGCGAAAGCGUGGGUAGUAAACAGGAUUAGAUACCCCGGUAGUC